rnacentral:rRNA from 1 species
UAACCAGACUCCUACGGGAGGCAGCAGUGGGGGAUAUUGCACAAUGGGGGAAACCCUGAUGCAGCGACGCCGCGUGAGUGAAGAAGUAUUUCGGUCUGUAAAGCUCUAUCAGCAGGGAAGAAGAUGACAGUACCUGAGUAAGAAGCCCCGGCUAACUACGUGCCAGCAGCCGCGGUAAUACGUAGGGGGCAAGCGUUAUCCGGAUUUACUGGGUGUAAAGGGAGCGUAGACGGUUAUGUAAGUCUGGAGUGAAAGCCCGGGGCCCAACCCCGGGACUGCUCUGGGAACUGUGCGGCUGGAGUGCGGGAGGGGCAGGCGGAAUUCCUGGUGUAGCGGUGAAAUGCGUAGAUAUUAGGAGGAACACCAGUGGCGAAGGCGGCCUGCUGGGCUUUUACUGACGCUGAGGCUCGAAAGUGUGGGGAGCAAACAGGAUUAGAUACCCUCGUACA